rnacentral:misc_RNA from 1 species
GAUGAAGAACGCAGCGAAAUGCGAUACGUAAUGUGAAUUGCAAAUUCAGUGAAUCAUCGAGUCUUUGAACGCACAUUGCGCCCCCUGGUAUUCCGGGGGGCAUGCCUGUCCGAGCGUCAUUGCUGCCCUCAAGCACGGCUUGUGUGUUGGGCCCCGUCCUCCGAUCCCGGGGACGGGCCCGAAAGGCAGCGGCGGCACCGCGUCCGGUCCUCGAGCGUAUGGGGCUUUGUCACCCGCUCUGUAGGCCCGGCCGGCGCUUGCCGAUCAACCCAAAUUUUUAUCCAGGUUGACCUCGGAUCAGGUAGGGAUACCCGCUGAACUUAAGCAUAUCAAUAAGCGGAGGA